AAAUCGACCCAAUUUCUCUCUUCGUCUUCAGAAAAAAAAAUGAUCAAUCUUCGAUAUCAUCGAUUCUUCUCUAUCUCCUUCUCCGAUAUCAUCUCCCCUUCUCCGAUAUCAGCUCUCCUUCUCCGAUGUCUAAAUCCUCAAUCGACAAUAUCCAAGCCAGUAUCGGUAAGUUUCCUCACUUCUAGUCAUUCCUUCUUUACCAAUUUGUUUCAGGUAUAUUGUUUUUCUGGAUGUCUGUAGAAAUUGAUAGCAUUUUACGAAGUGUUGCCAAAAUAUUGGAUUAGUGUUUGGAUUGCAUGUUGGAAACUUGCAAUAUUUUUUGCUAGUUCGGGCUUUUGAUUUUGGUUGGGAGAAUAACAUUUUGAAUUUGUCUGUAUUGAGAUCAAAUGGGUUUGCUCGGAUUUGGCGAACAUGGUGACUGUGGAAGAAGAACACGUAUGUGUUGAUCAUCCGUGGUGGCUGUAGAUUCAAAGAGAAAAUUAGGCUGGAGACAAAGCUUCACGAGUCAAUGAAAAUGAUGAUUAUGGCUUCUUUUAGUUUCAGGUAAUACACAUCUCCCUUAGCCUUUUUCAUUAUGGCUUCUUGUUUUGAUUUGCUGUAUGGGUUGCGUUUGGUUUCUGUGUUUGUAUUUUGUGUGUUGCGAGACAAAACUUAACCCCUUUGUAUUUUGUGUGUUUGUAUUUUGGUGUGUUGCGAGUUGGUUGCGAGUUAGUUUAGGAACAUGACAAGUCUUAGGAAGAACCAUUGUGUGCUAACCGAUAUAUUUGAUAAGAAUGAUGAGUUGCUGAUAAUGAAGAGAGAAGGUUCAAGUCAUCUGCAGAGUGGAACCAAAAAGUAGCAAAUCGAUCUUUCUUCUGCUAUUGUCUUCGGAAGCUCUACAGGUAAUUGAUGGUGAAAGACGUAUGGAAGGUGGAGAUUGAGCUAGUGUCUUCAGAAGCUCUUCAGGUUAUGCGGUGUCGGCACAACCAAACAAGGUUAUAGACAACAUGUCGGCACAAAAUUACCACAAUAAUAUCGCAUGUGUUAGCUUUAUGCAAAAAUAUCCCAUUGUUGUAUUUUGAAUGACCACAUGUUUUACUUUUGUUUGCCACCACAAGAGUUAAUGUCGACUUCUAUAUAUAAUGAUGCAAUCUUCUAUUUCAUAUCAUAAGCAAUUUCAUUUCUCUUCUUUCUUCGUUUCAUAAGCAAAGGCAUUACUUUAAUUUCUUCUUUUUAUAAGCAAAGUCGUUACUCUUAUUCCUUCUUUUCAUAAGCAAAGUCAUUACGCUUCUUUUCUUCUUCUUUUGUUCUUCUUUUCUUCAUUUCUUUAUGGCAUCAUUUUCCCAAAAUACUAGUGAUGAUAAUUUGAUCAAUACUUUGAUAAUUAUUUUGAUCAACACUUUGAUCAAGCAUUUGAUAAUCUGUUUAAUGAUUAUCCCGAUCAGCAAGAGCCAAGAAAGUCAAGAAAAAAAAAGAAUUUUUAUUGAAAGAGCUCGUGAAGAAGGCCAUAUUCGGUUGUGGAACGAUUAUUUCCAUGAAGAUGCAACAUACUCGGAUAAUAUAUUCAAAUGAACAAACCAUUGUUCUUAUAUAUUGAUCGGCUGUCAAAUGAAAUUCCUUAUUUUCAACGCAAGAAAGAUGCUCUCGGAAGGUCUGGCCUUUCUCCACUUCAAAAAUGUAUAGCAGCAAUCUGUAUCUUGGCAUAUGGCGAUGUGCUUGAUGCAGUUGACGAAUACCUCCGACUCGGUGCAUCUACUGCAUAUUUCUAUUUGGAAAAUUUUGUUGAAGUAAUAAUAAUUCUCUUUGGCGAUGAGUACCUACGCCCGCCCACACAAGAGGAUCUUCAACGACUGCUUUAUGUUGGAGAGCAAUGCGGAUUUUCCGGGAUGAUAGGAAGCAUCAACUGUAUGCAUUGGGAGUGGAAGAAUUGUCCAACCGCUUGGAAAGGCCAAUAUUCACGUGGUACUGGAAAACCCACAAUCGUUUUAGAAGCGGUGGCUUCAUAUGAUCUCUGGAUUUGGCAUACGUUUUUUGGACCUCAAGCUGUCCGAAAAGAUGUCGAGCGUGCUUUUGGAGUCUUGCUAGCUCGAUUUGCCAUUGUCGAAAAUCCAGCUUUGUUUUGGGAUAAAACAAAAAUAGAGAAGAUUACGAGAGCAUGUAUCAUAUCCACAACAUGAUAGUAGAAAAUGAACGAGACGGAUAUACUUUAUUUGAUCAGUCAGAAUUCCAACAAGGAAAAGGAAGCACAACAUCAAAUGUGGAUCUUUCGUACUCUACAGAAAUGCCAACAAUAAUUGGUGAUAUGUUCGAUGCUCGACGUAGAAUUUGGGAUACACAACAACAUCACCAAUUAAAAGCUAAUUUGAUUGAGCAUAUAUGACAUAAAUUCGGAAACUGAAAAUCUAUGCAGACAAGUUGUAUGUCAAA